UUGAAAAUAGGUCUUUAUUGUGUAGAAAAACUUUGAGAACAAACUGGGGUAUAGGUAGAAGAGGGGGUGCCCUAUGGCAGUGGUAAGACAAUGUGAGCAGGGUCAGAUAAUGUGGAAUUGAGAAUGGAAGAUCUCUGAACUCAGAAAGCCUUGAUGUUCAGCAAAAAAGAUCAACCUCUUCUUCUUAGUAUCAUAAACUGAUGACUUCCAUUCCACCAGGAUUAAGCUGAAACCCAGGAAGAGAAAGUUGUUCCAGGUACCAGUCACCAAAAUCCUUCCUCACUCCUCGAAGAGCCAAAGCUGGAUCACAAAGGGCUUUGAUCAAGGCCUCAGAGUUCUGACUUUCCAGAGAUUCAUCAAUGGCCUCCAGUGCUCCAUGAACUAAAAAACAAAACAAAACAAAACCCAAGGAUGGAACCUCCUUUCUGGAGUGUGUUCUCCGCCCUUGAAGCCGGAGUUUCCCACGCAUCCAAAGCACCACUUCUGGCAUUCAUCAUGUGAAGAUUAGCUACU